AAAGGAAUCACCAGGGAUUGCCUAGUAACGGCGAGUGAAGCGGCCAACAGCUCAAAUUUGAAAUCUGGCUCUUUUAGGGUCCGAGUUGUAAUUUGCAGAGGGUGCUUUGGUGUUGGCAGCGGUCCAAGUUCUUUGGAACAGGACGUCACAGAGGGUGAGAAUCCCGUACGUGGUCGCUAGCCCUCGCCGUGUAAAGCCCUUUCGACGAGUCGAGUUGUUUGGGAAUGCAGCUCUAAAUGGGAGGUAAAUUUCUUCUAAAGCUAAAUACUGGCCAGAGACCGAUAGCGCACAAGUAGAGUGAUCGAAAGAUGAAAAGCACUUUGGAAAGAGAGUCAAAUAGCACGUGAAAUUGUUGAAAGGGAAGCGCUUGCAGCCAGACUUGCCUGUAGUUGCUUAUCCGGACUUUUGUCCGGUGCACUCUUCUGCGGGCAGGCCAGCAUCAGUUUAGGCGGUUGGAUAAAGGUCUCUGUCAUGUACCUCUCUUCGGGGAGGCCUUAUAGGGGAGACGACAUGCAACCAGCCUGGACUGAGGUCCGCGCAUCUGCUAGGAUGCUGGCGUAAUGGCUGUAAGCGGCCCGUCUUGAAACACGGACCAAGGAGUCUAACAUCUAUGCGAGUGUUUGGGUGUCAAGCCCAGACGCGUAAUGAAAGUGAACGGAGGUGGGAACCCUUACGGGUGCACCAUCGACCGAUCCUGAUGUCUUCGGAUGGAUUUGAGUAAGAGCAUGGCUGUUGGGACCCGAAAGAUGGUGAACUAUGCUUGAAUAGGGUGAAGCCAGAGGAAACUCUGGUGGAGGCUCGCAGCGGUUCUGACGUGCAAAUCGAUCGUCAAAUUG
rnacentral:rRNA from 1 species